GACGAACGCUGGCGGCGUGCUUAACACAUGCAAGUCGAACGGAAAGGCCCUGCUUUUGUGGGGUGCUCGAGUGGCGAACGGGUGAGUAACACGUGAGUAACCUGCCCUUGACUUUGGGAUAACUUCAGGAAACUGGGGCUAAUACCGGAUAGGAGCUCCUGCUGCAUGGUGGGGGUUGGAAAGUUUCGGCGGUUGGGGAUGGACUCGCGGCUUAUCAGCUUGUUGGUGGGGUAGUGGCUUACCAAGGCUUUGACGGGUAGCCGGCCUGAGAGGGUGACCGGCCACAUUGGGACUGAGAUACGGCCCAGACUCCUACGGGAGGCAGCAGUGGGGAAUAUUGCACAAUGGGCGGAAGCCUGAUGCAGCAACGCCGCGUGUGGGAUGACGGCCUUCGGGUUGUAAACCGCUUUCGCCUGUGACGAGGCGUGAGUGACGGUAAUGGGUAAAGAAGCACCGGCUAACUACGUG
rnacentral:rRNA from 1 species